rnacentral:rRNA from 1 species
AGAGUUUGAUCCUGGCUCAGGAUGAACGCUGGCGGCAUGCCUAAUACAUGCAAGUCGAACGAGGAUCCUUCGGGAUCCUAGUGGCGAACGGGUGAGUAACACGUAGGGAACCUGCCCGCGCACCGGGAAUACGCUCUGGAAACGGAGAACAAAUCCCGAUGUACAGGAAGGAGGCAUCUUCUUUCUGUGAAACAUCCUGUAAGGGAUGGGGCGCGGAUGGACCUGCGGUGCAUUAGUUAGUUGGCGAGGGUAAAGGCCCACCAAGACGAUGAUGCAUAGCCGGCCUGAGAGGGCGGACGGCCACAUUGGGACUGAGACACGGCCCAGACUCCUGCGGGAGGCAGCAGUAGGGAAUUUUCGUCAAUGGGCGCAAGCCUGAACGAGCGAUGCCGCGUGAGUGAAGAAGGCCUUCGGGUCGUAAAGCUCUGUUGCGGGGGAAAAAAGGCAACUACAGGAAAUGGUAGAUGACAGAUGGUGCCCCGCCAGAAAGUCACGGCUAACUACGUGCCAGCAGCCGCGGUAAUACGUAGGUGGCGAGCGUUAUCCGGAAUGAUUGGGCGUAAAGGGUGCGCAGGCGGUCCUGCAAGUCUGGAGUGAAACGUAUGAGCUCAACUCAUGCAUGGCUCUGGAAACUGGAGGACUGGAGAGCAGGAGAGGGCGGUGGAACUCCAUGUGUAGCGGUAAAAUGCGUAGAUAUAUGGAAGAACACCA